ACUUAUAUGUUGGCAGUAAGAAACAUAGUUUUUAAUAGCCCUGUAUAGCAUCAAUCAUUAGCUUGACCGUGAAGACCUUGGUGGGUUUAAGCCAAAGUGUAAUGGAUUGUUGACCUCACUCUACACCUUCAGCUUCAAAUCUUUUAUUACACCCAAGAAACAUAUAAGAUGGGACUAAACAAGUCCAUCAGGAUUUUUAAUGAUCUUGUAACAUGGUAGACUAAUGUGCCUGUGUUGAUUCAGCUCCAUAUUAUUGUGUGAAGUUGCACUGGGUUGGGAGUGGUGUGUGUGUGUGUGUCACAUUUUUGGUGAGCCAAUGGCUGGAAUGGGGCUGGACUAAUUAGAGGCAGGUGUACUUCAUUGCACUGAUACACUGGUCUACUUAUAGCCCACACUACAAACACUGCUGUGUUAUUUUGUCUCUCUGUGCAGGCCAGGGCCUGUUAUAUGCCACAGCCUAAAGGCAGCAGAGUUGCAGAGGCUGGAGUGACCACUGGCUAUAUGCUUGCAGGGUGGUGGGUCUCGGAGGACAACUUCUAACCCUGUUAAAGGCAACACGUGGAGUGCAACUGGCAGUGUGGCAUAGCUGGCUCUGGCCUUGGGACUGUGUGUUUUAUUUGAUUCAAAAAAGGGACACUGGACUGUUUUAUCUUUUUAUCUCUUGAUUACUUUUGUCAAUAAAUUAUCUUUUAGAAUUUUAUUGACUUUCAUCUUUUUGCCCACGACUGAGACGGUUGGUCAGACCUAGGAUCUUUCUUUGGGUGUGUUACAAUCUGACAAAUAACUUGGCAGCAAACAGGACUAAAAGCAUGUCUCAGAAGUUUGUACUUUUUUUUUUUUUUUUAAUGUUACUGAAAACUAAUUAGCAAUUCUAUGGAUACAUUAAACAAACCCAGUUUAAGUUGUGAUCAGUUCAUCCAAAUAUAAUCCCUACUGUUUAACAUGAAAUGCCCCCAAAAGAUAUUUGACUGAUACUGAUAUUUGUAGUUCUCCGUUCUGGGAUUAAACAAUGGUACAACGGUAGCUAUGAAUUAAAUAAGCAAUCAUAAAUACUAAAUUGCUCACUUUAAGUGUGCGGCAGAUAGAUGCUGUUUAUCACAAGUCGUCAAUAUCAAACGUGACUUAUAGGUGAACAACGAUAUAAAAAGACUGAGUUCUGGUUUUCAUGUGACAUCAUGUGCUGGAGAGUUGAAUGUUCUGUACUCUGUGUGCGCUUCUGUGUG